rnacentral:rRNA from 1 species
UGCAAGUCGAACGAGAAAGUGGAGCAAUCCAUGAGUAAAGUGGCGCACGGGUGAGUAACACGUGACUAACCUACCCUGGAGUGGGGGAUAACUGAGGGAAACCUUAGCUAAUACCGCAUAAUACCUACGGGUCAAAGGAGCAAUUCGCUUUAGGAGGGGGUCGCGGCAGAUUAGCUAGUUGGCGGGGUAAUGGCCCACCAAGGCAGUGAUCUGUAUCCGGCCUGAGAGGGCGCACGGACACACUGGAACUGAAACACGGUCCAGACUCCUACGGGAGGCAGCAGUGGGGAAUUUUGCGCAAUGGGGGAAACCCUGACGCAGCAACGCCGCGUGGAGGAUGAAGUCUCUUGGGACGUAAACUCCUUUCGAUCGGGAAGAUAAUGACGGUACCGAUAGAAGAAGCCCCGGCUAACUUCGUGCCAGCAGCCGCGGUAAUACGAGGGGGGCAAGCGUUGUUCGGAAUUAUUGGGCGUAAAGGGUGUGUAGGCGGUUUGGUAAGUCUUGUGUGAAAUCUUCGGGCUCAACUCGAAGUCUGCACGAGAAACUGCCGGGCUUGAGUGUGGGAGAGGUGAGUGGAAUUUCCGGUGUAGCGGUGAAAUGCGUAGAUAUCGGAAGGAACACCUGUGGCGAAAGCGGCUCACUGGACCACAACUGACGCUGAGACACGAAAGCUAGGGGAGCAAACAGGAUUAGAUACCCUGGUAGUCCUAGCCCUAAACGAUGAUCGCUUGGUGUGACGGGUACCCAAUCCCGCCGUGCCGAAGCUAACGCGUUAAGCGAUCCGCCUGGGGAGUACGGUCGCAAGGCUGA